rnacentral:rRNA from 1 species
CCUACGGGAGGCAGCAGUGGGGAAUAUUGCGCAAUGGGGGAAACCCUGACGCAGCAACGCCGCGUGAGUGAGGAAGGACUUCGGUCUGUAAAGCUCUGUUAAUGAGGAAAAAUGGUAGUUGGUCUAAUAGGCCGAUUAUUUGAUGGUACUCAUAGAGGAAGCACCGGCUAACUUCGUGCCAGCAGCCGCGGUAAUACGAAGGGUGCAAGCGUUGUUCGGAUUUAUUGGGCGUAAAGCGCGCGUAGGCGGACCUGCAAGUAAGAUGUGAAAUCUCGAGGCUCAACCUCGAAACUGCGUCUUAAACUACAGGUCUAGAAUCUCGGAGGGGGAAGGGGAAUUUCGCAUGUAGGGGUAAAAUCCGUAGAUAUGCGAAGGAACACCAGAGGCGAAGGCGCCUUCCUGGACGAGUAUUGACGCUGAGGCGCGAAAGCGUGGGGAUCAAACAGGAUUAGAUACCCUGGUAGUCCACGCUGUAAACGAUGAACACUAGGUAUUGGAGGAUUUGACCCCUUCAGUGCCGUAGCUAACGCGUUAAGUGUUCCGCCUGGGAAGUACGGUCGCAAGCUAAACUCAAANAGUAGUUGAGCGNGNGAGNGCGACGGCGACGACGAGGGAGAGG